UACGUAGGGUCCGAGCGUUGUCCGGAAUUACUGGGCGUAAAGCGCGCGCAGGCGGCUAUCCAAGUCAGUGGUGAAAGCCCGGAGCUCAACUCCGGAACUGCCAUUGAAACUGUUUAGCUUGAGGAUGAGAGAGGUGAGUGGAACUGCGAGUGUAGAGGUGAAAUUCGUAGAUAUUCGCAAGAACACCAGUGGCGAAGGCGGCUCACUGGCCCGAUACUGACGCUGAGGCACGAAAGCGUGGGGAGCAAACAGG
rnacentral:rRNA from 1 species